rnacentral:rRNA from 1 species
AUUGAACGCUGGCGGCAUGCCUUACACAUGCAAGUCGAACGGCAUCACGGGUGCUUGCACCUGGUGGCGAGUGGCGAACGGGUGAGUAAUACAUCGGAACGUACCUUAUCGUGGGGGAUAACGCAGCGAAAGUUGCGCUAAUACCGCAUACGCCCUGAGGGGGAAAGCGGGGGACCGUAAGGCCUCGCGCGAUUAGAGCGGCCGAUGUCUGAUUAGCUUGUUGGUGAGGUAAAAGCUCACCAAGGCGAUGAUCAGUAGCUGGUCUGAGAGGACGAUCAGCCACACUGGGAGUGAGACACGGCCCAGACUCCUACGGGAGGCAGCAGUGGGGAAUGUUGGACAAUGGGGGCAACCCUGAUCCAGCAAUGCCGCGUGAGUGAAGAAGGCCUUCGGGUUGUAAAGCUCUUUUGUCAGGGAAGAAACAGCAGCUCUAACACAGUCUGCGAAUGACGGUACCUGAAGAAUAAGCACCGGCUAACUACGUGCCAGCCGCCGCAGUAA